rnacentral:lncRNA from 1 species
AGUGUGCUCAGUGCAGAAAUUCAGAGUUCCAGGCAGUGAUCAGGAACACAGCAUUUCAGGCUACAAGUUCCAAGAACCUCAAGGAUAGAGUGAUGAGGCAAGAUCAAAGCAGUAAAGUCAAUAAACAAUCAGACAAAUAAGUAAAUGAGUGCCUGUAGAAGACACAGGAGUUUCCACUUCAGAAGAUUCCUGCGUAAGAAAAAGCCUAAAUAACGCCCUGUAUCUCACCAAUCUGGAGAGACUUUGAAAUCUGUUCCCCAGGUUUGUUUUUCUUCUCCAUCACACCUCACACGGAACACAGAGAGUGGUGUCCUGUCACUUUGAUGUCUCUCUCUACUCAAAUGGCAGAAACCAACCAGGUGAGUUGUCAUAACUUAGGUGAGGUUGGGAUAAAAAUACACCUUGGAGAGCUUGCUUCCUGAUGACAGACUGAGAGUAGCUCUUUUUGAUUUGAGUUGUUUGGAGCUUAAAUUCAGUGCCAACCCAUACGAGUGUCUCAGAACACUGGGUUAGAAAUGAGAUUAUAUUAGGAGCAUAAAGCCUUUUGUCUGUCUUUUUGUAGAAUUUUCUUUGACUGAUGGAUGGUGUAAUCUUGUCCAGUAUCAUGAUUUACAAUUGUCAGUGAAUGAAACAGCUGAAUUUUUAAAUUCAGGAUUCAUUUCUGGGUUUACCUUUAAAAGUAGCUUGACUAGUGCAGAGUUAAGCAUCUUCAUUAAUGACAGCGUCUGAGAAUGUGGCUAUUUCAUGGAUUCAAUUUAAAUCAUUUAGUUUUAUGAGAAGCAAAACACUUUUCCCUGCAAUUUAAUAAUUGAAAAAUCCUUAAUCCUAAACCCCAAAUCUUGGUCUUCCUUUGGAGUAAAUUGUAUGAGCUAGUUCUAGGGUGUGUCUCCCAAGUUGCUCAAAGAGGAGUUGCAGCCAGGGGUGGAAGCAUGCCAUGGCACCAACCAGCAGAACCUCGAAGUUUGCUCUUAGCCGGUUACAGAGAGAUCACGCUGAAAUCCUAAUCCAUGAAAGGACCAUCAAGGAGAUAUCAGGAGAAAGGACUCUGACAAAUCAGCCUGCAGGAAAAUACAGUGUAGAAGUGAAUGUGGUCAAAAUCAAAAUCAUGAUCAUGAGAUGGUGAGAUUUAUUUCUUUUCUGCUUUUAACCGAUUGACAAGUGAAGGGACACAGA